UACGUAGGGGGCUAGCGUUGUCCGGAUUUAUUGGGCGUAAAGAGCGUGUAGGCGGCCAGGUAGGUCUGCUGUGAAAACUCGAGGCUCAACCUCGAGACGUCGGCGGAAACCAUCUGGCUAGAGUCCGGAAGAGGAGAGUGGAAUUCCGUGGUGUAGCGGUGAAAUGCGUAGAUAUCUGGAGGAACACCGGUGGCGAAGGCGGCAUCCUGGACCAACAUUGACGCUGAGGAGCGAAAGCUAGGGGAGCAAACGGG
rnacentral:rRNA from 1 species